rnacentral:rRNA from 1 species
GACGAACGCUGGCGGCGUGCUUAACACAUGCAAGUCGAACGGAAAGGCCCUGCUUUUGUGGGGUGCUCGAGUGGCGAACGGGUGAGUAACACGUGAGUAACCUGCCCUUGACUUUGGGAUAACUUCAGGAAACUGGGGCUAAUACCGGAUAGGAGCUCCUGCUGCAUGGUGGGGGUUGGAAAGUUUCGGCGGUUGGGGAUGGACUCGCGGCUUAUCAGCUUGUUGGUGGGGUAGUGGCUUACCAAGGCUUUGACGGGUAGCCGGCCUGAGAGGGUGACCGGCCACAUUGGGACUGAGAUACGGCCCAGACUCCUACGGGAGGCAGCAGCGGGGAAUAUUGCACGAUGGGCGGAAGCCUGAUGCAGCAACGCCGCGUGCGGGAUGACGGCCUUCGGGUUGUAAACCGCUUUCGCCUGUGACGAAGCGUGAGUGACGGUAAUGGGUAAAGAAGCACCGGCUAACUACGUGCCAGCAGCCGCGGUGAUACGUAGGGUGCGAGCGUUGUCCGGAUUUAUUGGGCGUAAAGGGCUCGUAGGUGGUUGAUCGCGUCGGAAGUGUAAUCUUGGGGCUUAACCCUGAGCGUGCUUUCGAUACGGGUCGACUUGAGGAAGGUAGGGGAGAAUGGAAUUCCUGGUGGAGCGGUGGAAUGCGCAGAUAUCAGGAGGAACACCAGUGGCGAAGGCGGUUCUCUGGGCCUUUCCUGACGCUGAGGAGCGAAAGCGUGGGGAGCGAACAGGCUUAGAUACCCUGGUAGUCCACGCUGUAAACGGUGGGUACUAGGUGUGGGGUCCAUUCCACGGGUUCCGUGCCGUAGCUAACGCUUUAAGUACCCCGCCUGGGGAGUACGGCCGCAAGGCUAAAACUCAAAGGAAUUGACGGGGCCCCGCACAAGCGGCGGAGCAUGCGGAUUAAUUCGAUGCAACGCGUAGAACCUUACCUGGGUUUGACAUGGAUCGGGAGUGCUCAGAGAUGGGUGUGCCUCUUUUGGGGUCGGUUCACAGGUGGUGCAUGGCUGUCGUCAGCUCGUGUCGUGAGAUGUUGGGUUAAGUCCCGCAACGAGCGCAACCCUUGUUCACUGUUGCCAGCACGUUAUGGUGGGGACUCAGUGGAGACCGCCGGGGUCAACUCGGAGGAAGGUGGGGAUGACGUCAAGUCAUCAUGCCCCUUAUGUCCAGGGCUUCACGCAUGCUACAAUGGCUGGUACAGAGAGUGGCAAGCCUGUGAGGGUGAGCGAAUCUCGGAAAGCCGGUCUCAGUUCGGAUUGGGGUCUGCAACUCGACCUCAUGAAGUCGGAGUCGCUAGUAAUCGCAGAUCAGCAACGCUGCGGUGAAUACGUUCCCGGGGCU